rnacentral:tRNA from 1 species
GCCUUCGUGGUGUAACGGUUAGCACACUCGGCGCGUAUUCGAGAGGUCCAGGUUCGAGUCCCGUCGAAGGCA